ACGUCUGAUUAUAUCUCAAAAAAACAUAUUUUUCGAGGCAUGACUAUAUUUUUUAUUGUCAGGCUUCAUAUGAAUAUUGAGCGUGACCUCAACUAUCUAUUUGACAUCCUCCCUCUCCUUCCCCUCCAUCCCUCUUUCUCUCUCUCUUUUCAUUGUUUUCCAUAAACUCUUCCUCGAAUUUUUCUCUAUAAUCUCCAUCUUUGCGUUUUUUUUCUUUUUACUCUUCAUUUUUUCUUGCUGUUUAUAUAUCCAUUCAUAUACUAUACUAUAUUGUCAUCAAACAUAGAAUUAUCUAUUUUUAUUCUUUAUAAUAUAUAGCUAUAUUGAUUCUUUACGUAAUGUAUUUUGCACUAAAUAUUUGGCUUACUAAUAAAUAUGUUCUUUAAUAU
rnacentral:lncRNA from 1 species